rnacentral:sRNA from 1 species
AUAUCGGCCGAAUUUCGUAAGGAAAACGGGGGAACCGUAUUUUUGGGGUGAAUUUCACAGGCAGGCUUCGUGCAGUUGGUUUGGAAGUGGCGAAAGCGUCUGUGAAUAGGGCAACUGUGCAUGUCCGAAUCCGUCAGCUAACCUCGUAGGCCUUU